rnacentral:lncRNA from 1 species
GGGCCUAUAGGGAGAAUAUAACUAGACCAGGACCAGAGUUAUAGUUAGGGCCUAUAGGGAGAAUAUAACUAGACCAGAGUUAUAGUUAGGGUCUAUAUGGAGAAUAUAACUAGACCAGAGUUAUAGUUAGGGCCUAUAGGGAGGAUAUAACUAGACCAGGACCAGAGUUAUAGUUAGGGCCUAUAGAGAGAAUAUAACUAGACCAGGACCAGAGUUAAAAUUAGGGCCUAUAGGGAGAAUAUAACUAGACCAGGACCAGAGUUAUAGUUAGGGCCUAUAGGGAGGAUCUAACUAGACCAGAGUUAUAGUUAGGGCCUAUACGGAGGAUAUAACUAAACCAGGACCAGAGUUAUAGUUAGGGCCUAUAGGGAGAAUAUAACUAGACCAGGGUUAUAGUUAGGGUCUGUAGGGAGAAUAUAACUAGACCAGGACCAGAGUUAUAGUUAGGGCCUAUAGGGAGAAUAUAACUAGACCAGGACCAGAGUUAUAGUUAGGGCCUAUAGGGAUAAUAUAACUAGACCAGGACCAGAGUUAUAGUUUAGGCCUAUAGGGAGGAUAUAACUAGACCAUGGCCAGAGUUAUAGUUAGGGCCUAUAGGGAGAAUAUAACUAGACCAGGACCAGAGUUAUAGUUAGGGUCUAUAGAGAGAAUAUAAAUAGACCAGAGUUAUCGUUAGUGCCUAUAGGGAGAAAUUAACUAGACCAGAGUUACAGUUAGGGGCUAUAGGGAGAAUAUAACUAGACCAGGACCAGAGUUAUAGUUAGGGUCUAUAGGGAGGAUAUAACUAGACCAGGACCAGAGUUAUAGUUAGGGCCUAUCGUGAGAAUAUAACUAGAACAGAGUUAUAGUUAGUGCCUAUAGGGAGGAUAUAACUCGACCAGGACCAGAGUUAUAGUUAGGGCCUAUAGGGAGGAUAUAACUAGACCAGAGUUAUAGUUAGGGCCUAUAGGGAGGAUAUAACUAGACCAGGACCAGAGUUAUAGUUGGGGCCUAUAAAGAGAAUAUAACUAGACCAGGACCAGAGUUAUAGUUAGGCUUUAUAGUGAGUAUAUAACUAGACCAGAGUUAUAGUUAGGGCCUAUAGGGAGGAUAUAACUAGACCAGGACCAGAGUUAUAGUUAGGGCCUAUAUGGAGAAUAUAACUAGACCAGGAGCAGAGUUAUAGUUAGGGUCUAUAGGGAGAAUAUAACUAGACCAGGACCAGAGUUAUAGUUAGGGCCUAUAGGGAGAAUAUAACUAGACCAGGACCAGAGUUAUAGUUAGGGCCUAUAGGGAGAAUAUAACUAGACCAGAGUUAUAGUUAGGGUCUAUAUGGAGAAUAUAACUAGACCAGAGUUAUAGUUAGGGCCUAUAGGGAGGAUAUAACUAGACCAGGACCAGAG